AGGCGACGAUCCGUAGCUGGUCUGAGAGGAUGAUCAGCCACAUCGGGACUGAGACACGGCCCGAACUCCUACGGGAGGCAGCAGUGGGGAAUAUUGGACAAUGGGCGAAAGCCUGAUCCAGCAAUGCCGCGUGUGUGAAGAAGGCCUUCGGGUUGUAAAGCACUUUUGUCCGGAAAGAAAUCUCCUGGGUUAAUACCCUGGGUGGAUGACGGUACCGGAAGAAUAAGCACCGGCUAACUACGUGCCAGCAGCCGCGGUAAUACGUAGGGUGCAAGCGUUAAUCGGAAUUACUGGGCGUAAAGCGUGCGCAGGCGGUUAUGCAAGACAGGUGUGAAAUCCCCGGGCUCAACCUGGGAACUGCACUUGUGACUGCAUGACUAGAGUGCGUCAGAGGGAGGUGGAAUUCCGCGUGUAGCAGUGAAAUGCGUAGAGAUGCGGAGGAACACCGAUGGCGAAGGCAGCCUCCUGGGAUGACACUGACGCUCAUGCACGAAAGCGUGGGGAGCAAACAGGAUUAGAUACCCUGG
rnacentral:rRNA from 1 species